UAACAAACCUAAUUAAUCAAAGACAUAUAACCUGAAUUUUGACUGUUUUUUAAAAAUUGUUUUUUAGGUGAUCCCACACAGAGGAAGCCAUCAGGCAAAUCCAGACUAUGAGACAUUCCAUGAGACAGGAACCAUGACGCCCAUCAGCUCUGUGAUGAAGGGGACCUCAUGGCUCCACGCCCCAGCACUGCCCGGGACACCAGGACACACACUGUGACCUCUGCCAUUGCCAUUACACCUGUUGGAACUGCGGGCAAAAAUCACUGCCGUGUUCCAGGUCUGAACCUGGGCAGGCUGCCCCAGGGCUGCCAGGACCACACCUACCAUCUCCUGUCUCACCUGUCAGGAGGGGGUGGAGUGGGAGGGUCUUGAGAGCAGAGAGAACUGGAAAGGAGGUGAGAGUCACAGUGAGCAUGGAUUCUGGAACCCACUCACCCCGACUUCCCUUCCACUGGACCAGUGACGGCAGAGGAAUGUACAAAGACCGUGGUCAGGUCAGAUGCUGCCCUCAGUCUGGUUGUGAUCCCUGCCAGACAGUUGGAGACCAUGACCUAUGGGUGGGAUGGAAGGGCAGGGAGCGGUCAGGUGUAAAAAGAAAAGCUAUUAACAGCUGGAACUGCCCCAGCACUGGCAAACCCCGGAGUUUCUGGUCUUCACCCUCAGGUACAUGGAAAAUUCCUCAUGUGCUUCCAAAGAGGUGAAACAGCAAACCCACCUGAAUCCAGGACAGAACGUGAUUUUUGGCUGCCCAUAAGCUCCUCAGACUUCCGUUGUUAAGCCUGUACAAGAAUGUUCGCUACAGUAUUUGUUACUAAUUGAAAAGAAUUAGAUGUUAUAGAAUUCGAAGUCCUCGUCUCAGCUCAGGCUGCCAGAACAAAGUACCACAAGUGAGGGGCUUAAACCACAGAAAUUUGUUCAGGGUUCUGGAGAUGGGAAGUCUGAGAUUAAGGCGUUGGAAGGGUUGGUUUCUUCCAGUGCCCCUCUCCUUGGCUUGCAGUUGGCUGUCUUCCUUCCACAUCUUUACAUGGUCUUCCCUCUGGGCAUGCCUGCACCUUAAAAUAAUCUGCUGUUCUCAGAGAUAGUCCACUGCAGUUACAGAGAACAAGGAAGAUCUCUAAGUACUGGCAGGGAAAGAGUUCCUGGUUUAUUGUUAAGUGGAAAAAAGAAAGUCACAGGACAGUAUGAUACUGAUAUUAGUUGUAUUGUGAUAUCAUAGGAUUGGGGCAAAGGUAAGAUGAAGAGGACUUACAUAUGUAAGUCUCUAUGUGCAGCAGAUUAGAUUAUUCUCAAUUCUUCUAAUUAUUCUUUUCUUUAACUUAUAUUUUUCUAUUUUGUGGGGGCAGGUAUUUAGGGUUACUUAUUUGUUUUUUAAUGGAGGUACUAGGGAUUGAACCCAGGACCUCAUGCAUACUAGAUAUGCACUCUACCACUGAGCUAUGCACUCUACCGCUGAACUAUACCCUCCCCAUCUAUUGUUCUCAUUUCUUCAUUCCCUCCCCUGCCCUGGUUUUGUAGCUUCUCCCCUGUGGGCUGAGGAUAUAUCCCUGGCCCAUGGAUAUUGAUUUUGGCCAGGUGACUUGGUCUGGCCAAUGGAAUUUGGAUGCAUGUACCCAGAGCAGAGGACUUAAAUGUGCUUGCUUGGCAUAGCUUGGUCUCUCAGGCUUCUGUGACCCUCAAUGAGAAGAAGGCACCCUGGAAAAUGGCUGGUCCAGGAGACCAUGACGAUGUGACAAGCAGACCUGAACCCAGCCAUAGCCUGGAGCUAGCCCAGCUCACCCUCAUACCUGUGAGCAAGAAAAAUAUAUGCUUACCUGGAAAACAUUAUGUUGAGUGAAGUAAGCCAGACCCAAAAGGACAAAUGUUAUAUGAUUCCACAUAUAUGAAAUACCUAGAACAGGCAAAUUCAUGGAGAGAAAGUAGAUUAGGAGCUACCAGGGGAGCAGAAUGAAAGGAGAGAGGGGAAUGAGUGGUUAUUACUUAAUGAAUAUAGAAUUUCUGCUUGAAGGGGAUGAAAAGGUUUUGAAAACAGAUAGUUAUGAUAGAUGCACAACAUCAGUGAAUGUACUUAAUAUCACUAAAUUGGACACUUAAAAUGAUAAAUUUUGUGCCAUAUGUAUAUAUAUCUUACCACAAUUUUUAAAAACAAUA